UUUCUCCAAGUCAGCUUCAAAAUGUGUUCAUAUAUUUCUAAAGAAUGAAAAUUCCUUAUGGUGUAUGUUUAUAUGUAUAUUUUCCUUAGUUUUACUUUAAAUUGUUUUACAUCUAUCAUGUAAGAAAUUCAAUAAAUAUCAACAACAAAACCUAUCAGAAACUAUGUUUAGAGAGUUCCUUUGUGGUACAGAUGAUUAAAGAUCUGGCCUUGGACAGCAGUGGGGGCACAGGUUUGAUCCCUGGCCUAGGAACUCCUGCAUGUCACGGCCACAGCCAACCCCCUCUCCCCCUAAAAAAGGAUGUUUAAAUAAAUAAAAUCUGGGUGAUGUUUUGAAUGCCAUUAACAGCCUUAAAUAAAGAAUGUAAUGUAUUAAAAUACAUUUUCAAAAUAAAAAGAAAUAGAGUGUUGUAAGAUGAUGGAAUACUGUACAAUAACGAUUUUUCAUCCAAUUACUGAUGACUUCAACAAUAUUAUUAUUAAUGUUUGGAAAAAUAUGAUGGUUGGAAAUAGUAUUUAUGUCAACACUUCAGAAUUUAAAAUACAUGUUAUUAAAGAGUAGCUUGAGUUUGCAAAUGAACAUCCAAAACAUACACAUUUUAUGGUGAAAUGUGGCUUCUCAUAGUCUCAUGGUCAGAUGAAAAUUACCUAACCCGACCGUCAUGUAGUUUUACAUGGUUAAGCAGGACUGUCCUAAGGGACUAUUACCAGGAGGAUGUUUUCUGAUAUUUCACAGGGUAGGACAUGACGCUGCAUGGAUGGGAAUUCUGUUUUCAACACUGACUCUAAACAGGAAAUGGCUGAUUGUUCCGAGAGGUUUAUAUUCCCUAUGGCCACACUACACUGAAUACUAAUCCCUGCAGAGAAAAUGCAUAUACAGCCUGCUCACAUUAGAUAAACACAUUCACAGCAAAAAUCAAUAUUUUGCAGAGCAUAUUUCAUAAAUAAAGAUCCAGUAAGCUCUACCUGGCAAAGCCCAAAGAAACAACUAUUAGGAUUUCAUAGAGAGAUCAGUAAAUGAUUCAUACAAAAAACAACAGUUUUCCUUUAUACCAGAAAUAACCACCAGAGUGUAUUAGGGGGGAAAAAUAGCACACUGACAAUAGCAAAGAAUCCCACCCCAUAAAAUAUCUAGGGUUCACUAAACAAGAAAUAUGCAAGUCCUAUAUUUAAGAAACGAGACAGACAAAAUUUAUAAAACUUUUUCAAGGAGAGAAAAUUUCAAAUUAUUUCUGUGGAAUGUAAGAAGAAAUAAAGCAAAAGUACACUCUUCAAAUUAAUCUAUUGUAAACAUGGUGAAAAGGUUGGUUUUUUUUUUUUUUUUUUUUUUUUUGUCUUUUUGCCAUUUCUUGGGCCGCUCCCGCGGCAUAUGGAGGUUCCCAGGCUAGGGGUCUAAUUGGAGCUGUAGCUGCCAGCCUACGCCAGACCCACAGCAACACGGGAUCCGAGCUGCAUCUGCAACCUACACCACAGUUCACGGCAACGCUAGAUCGUUAACCCACUGAGCAAGGGCAGGGACCGAACCCACAACCUCAUGGUUCCUAGUCGGAUUCGUUAACCACUGCGCCACGACGGGAACUCCUGAAAAAAAAUUUUUUAAUGUUACAAGUCAGUUCUAAAGUAUUUGUAAACCACAUGAAAUCAAAUAUCAUGCUUCUUUCACUCUUCACCAUAUAUUUAAUGCUUGCUAUUGUUGGUAACAUAUAACUAGCACUUGAUUGAUAACUAUACAUUAAUUGAAUAAAUAAAUGAAUACAAUAUAAAUAAUUAAUCUUCCAUAGUAAAUACACAACAAGAGCCUACAUACUUUUGAAAAAGGGUCAGAGCCUAUCAUAUAUCAGAAUGUUCCAGGAGGUUAUCCACUGCCUGCCAUGACUAAAUAAUGUAUUCCAGAUUAGUAUGACCAUAAACAACUAUGAAAGUGGAAAAAUAAAUGACAUAAAUUUUUUCAGACAUUGUGCAAAAGAUAGUGACAUGUCACAAUAUGUGAAAGAAGGUAAAAUCCCACUUAUAUUCCAGUUCUUUGCUCAGGAACAACUUUCUGACAAUGGCAUAAAAAGGAGGAGCCCAAGCAGAACGUGGCAGUCCUUUUAUGGAAACUAGAUAAAGAUGUUACAGGACGAAGUAAUUAUACGUCAAUGUAUUUCAUUAAUAUAAAUAUAAAAAUCUUCAACAAAAUAUUAGCAAAUCAAAUUUGGAAACAUAUUAAAAGAGUGAUAUUUUAUAACCAAAUGGGCUUUACCCCAGGAAUGCAAGGCUGGCUCAAUGUAAUCUACUACAUUUAAAGAAUAUUCAAUGAAACCACAGUUAUUAAAACAACCUGAGUAAUAAGAGCCUUGUAGGAAAGGAACAUUCCAUCAUCAUGAUUACUCUAAAGAAAAUACAUUUACUCUAAAGAAAAUCCAAACAGAACUAGCUCACAUGAUUUGGAAGGAAUAAUAGUUUCUUAGAGAAAAAAAAAAACAAAACUGGAAACUAGGAUGAAGACCAAUUCUAUGUAAACAUACAUAGAAAACAAUAUGUAAUUUUCAUUAUAAAGCAUGACAUUAAUCCAUGUCAGUAAAUCCCUUCUUCAACUGAAGCACCUCUCUGACUACUGCUAUAUACUGAGACCCAGUAGAUCUUUAGUGGCCAAGAGUCUCUAGUGUUUACAUGAGCAAAGAAUGGUCAAAUGUUCUCUUUACAGAAUUCAGCUUUAAUGAGGUUUAUCAAUAUCAGGUCUUUUAUGAAUUAUAAUUUCAUAGAUUAAAAUACAUAAAAUUCCUUAGGAUUAAUUAAGGUUAAGCUGUAGCAUUCAUUUCCAGAUAAACAGCUAUUUCUCUUUAAUAAACAACCUCUAUUAUAAAUUUUGGCUUUUACGUUACUGUACUUCUAAACUGUUUCAGUGCUUACAUUACUCAACCCCAUGAGAUAUAGAAGUCAAGAUCACUAAUACACAGCUGGUUUUCCAGGUUAUAAAUCUUGCGGAAAGUGAAAAGAGCCUUAUUGUGUCACGAUAAGAGACUUGGAGAAAUAUCAGGACCAAUUUACUGGUCUUGGGGACACUGAAGGAUGAGAAUUACUUAAGAAAGGUGGGAUACUUAUUUCAGUAUCUGAACUACCUUUCUUUUGUUUCACCUCAAAUUUUAAGCCAUUUAGCCUAAGACUGAUAGAAUUUUAAUCCUGGCUAAAAAUGCCUUCGUGAGCUUUGCCCUCCAGGGAAUUUACUGUCCUUUCUAGCCUCUGCAAUAUAUGAAAAGGAGACUGACUGCAAUAGGAUGCAUUAUAUUAGUUUAAUCAGCUGGCUGUGGCUUAACUAUGCUAUGCAGAGGCACUGGGGAAACUUGAAAUAGCACAGAAGGAAAAUCCAGGAUAUUUCUUCCAUUCCCUUCCCACUCAAACUGUGACAAUGUCUCUGGCAUUAACUGCAUCUCCUACAUGGCUUCAGCUCUCAUCAGACAGGGCUGCAGGGGUUUAACUGGGUGACUCCAGCCCCCUGACUCCGUUAAUCAUGCUGUCUCUUCUUAUUGUUCUACUACCCUAGUACUGGUUGUUGUGACUUCCUGCUGCUGCUAACCUGAGUUGCAUCAUCAUCCCAUUUGUCUUCUAUCCAAUGUUUAAUGGAUGCCCUGCAUAAUUAUUUCUUGUUUAAAUAACUGGAAAGAUUUCUACUUUCCUAAAUGGACUCUGAUAAUUAUUCUACAUAAGAAAAAUACACAUCAAAAUGAAAUUCUAGGAGUUUCCUGCAAAGCAAAAGGUGUCAUUGCUAUGCCCUUUUUAUCUUUUAUCAGCCCAUAGAGACAUCUAAAGGACAGCCCUUUAGAUGAUGUUUGUGGGAUUUGUGGGUAGUGUUUACUCCUCCUGCUACUGGCUCUGCACUUACUAAAAGGAAGCUAUGCCUCUCUUAAUUUUGUUUUCCCUACAAGUUUGAACUGAGAGACCUAAAAAUGUUGAUCCCAGGACUUCCUUGAGUCUUUGACUUUAAUUCUAGCUUACUUUGUAGAUGUUUUAAAUCUUCUUCUAAAAUUCUUACUGAUUUCUACAAAUAGUGGACAUCAGUUGUGUUCAGCUGACCAUAAUGUUCUCCCCUUUAGUCUGGUAAGUAUACAUAGGUUUUCUACAGUAAACUGAUUCCAUAUGCUGCAUAGGAAAGUCACUCCUCUCUCCUGACCACAGUGGUGGUCGUGUUACCUGAGAGGGGUCAAUGGGAAAAACCUGUACUCUGACCACAGUGAUUGGGUGAGACUGGCAAGUUUAACAAUCAACCAAUCAGAGCCCAUACUCCUACCCCCAUGCUGAACUAUUAUGAAUACCAUGACUGUUGGAAAACAUUGCCUCUUUCAACUGGAUCUUCAAUGGCAUAUCUGAAGAUGCACUGCUCAGAUCCUAUGAGGAAAACAUGUGCACUAAGGUUAAGAGUGUGGUAAACAAACAACCUUUAGUUAUUCGUUCUUUUGAGAUCUACCUAAGUUUUUAAACUCACCUCCACCUGAGGUUAUGCAGUUCCCGGAAAGUCCACAUCCAGUGAUUGAGCAAGGUGAGGAUAUAAAAACUCACUCAUUUUGACUGGAUGCAGAAAACUUUGCCAAGCUAUGUUUCCUAGGUUUCAGCAGGGUUGACUGAGGCUUUGUCAGGGAUGAAUCCCAGUUUGACUAAGAACACCAUGGCAACUCAGAACCCAGACGUAUUGGAUUGAAAGCCUA
rnacentral:lncRNA from 1 species